UACGGAGGGGACUAGCGUUAUCCGGAAUUAUUGGGCGUAAAGAGCUCGUAGGCGGUUUGUCGCGUCUGCCGUGAAAGUCCGGGGCUCAACCCCGGAUCUGCGGUGGGUACGGGCAGACUAGAGUGAUGUAGGGGAGACUGGAAUUCCUGGUGUAGCGGUGAAAUGCGCAGAUAUCAGGAGGAACACCGAUGGCGAAGGCAGGUCUCCGGGCAUUAACUGACGCUGAGGAGCGAAAGCGUGGGGAGCAAACAGG
rnacentral:misc_RNA from 1 species